rnacentral:misc_RNA from 1 species
GCUACCUGUAGUACAGGUACUUACAAUGAAAAGGAUUUUAAUGAUGUGGUUACUAGUAACAAACACGAUGAAUUUAUUGUAGAUAUAGAGGGAAGAGAAACUUCUAGAAUGAAAGAUGAUAUAAUCUGUCAAUCUGAUAAAACAAAUGGGGCAAGAAAAACAUGGAGUUCACCAAAUUUUGGUGCUUUGAAGAUCGUAAUUGCUGAUGAAAGUGAACAUCGAAAUGGAUCAAUUCCAAGAAUUGAGGUCACACCUAAAGAAAAAGGGUCCAAACAUCUCUUCUGGAAGCCAAGAUCUGGAGAAUAUUCUCGAGGAAAGGGAUCAUGUAAUAUGUUCAAUCAGCUUUUUGGUCAGGUUGGUGGGUUCCAAAGGCAAGCACCAUCUAACCUACAGUUCAGUUGUUCUGUU